GUACACACCGCCCGUCGCUACUACCGAUUGAAUGGUUUAGUGAGGUCCUCCGAUUGGACCCGGUCCGGGCGGCGACGUCCGAGCCGGCGUCCGAGAAGACGAUCUAACUUGAUCAUUUAGAGGAAGUAAAAGUCGUAACAAGGUUUCCGUAGGUGAACCUGCGGAAGGAUCAUUA
rnacentral:ncRNA from 1 species